rnacentral:lncRNA from 12 species
GUUAGAAACCAUCAUUUCUCUGAACUGUGUUUUCCUGUGAAUUUUUCUGUGGGCUCUAUGAAAAUGCUUCUCAUUGCACAGAAGAGGAGGGGGAGCAGCUGGGUGUGAGGGAUGGAAAGGAAUCUCUUCCCUCAUUUGGAAAACGGGGGGUGCUAAAGGUAAGGUGUGGAUUCCAUGAGAUUCCUGAGUAAUUAGUGAGCUAAUCAGAGAGUCUCCUGUUGCCUUCAGCCUUGUGGUGAGGAUGUGUUCCAGACCUGCAGCUGGAGCUGCUUGUGCUGCUGUGGGGUGUGUCAGGCCCCCGGGACACUGAUAAACUCCAGUGGGGCAGCCUGAAAUCCCUGUGAUGGGGUGCUAGGUGGGUCAGCUCCUCUCACCAUAAACACCCUGACUCGUCCUGCUUCUCCAAGAAAUCCUCCUGCAAUCCUGCCCGCACUGACCAGGGAGGAGAGAGUUCAGUGGGUGGAAAAGUCAUCCUGUGCUUAGGACAUGAAAGGUAAAAGUGCAAAUAAAAUCACACACAUGCCAUGACUGGAAGUGUCUCUGACUCCACGGUGAAAAGG